AUGACCUAUAUUGUUACUGAAACAUGGACCAUAUUGCAAUCCCAGGCCCACCGAGGACGCAGAGCGUCGCACCACAGGGUUGGCGGCUAUCAUCUCAGCAUUGUCGGAGCCGGAGCCGCCCUCACCAUAGAGGUCCUUGCCGAUGGUGACAGAGUAGACGACCAUGGGUGCGUCAGUCGCCAGGGCCUCCUCCAGCUUGCGAUGCUCGCCCUGCACACGCGUGGGGCUAGAGAGAGAGAGAGAGAGAGAGAGAGAGAGAGAGAAAGAGAAGGGAGGGGGGGUGGAAGAACGGGUUUUCGGCUUGGACCAAGUUGCGAUUGA
rnacentral:rRNA from 1 species